CGGGGCGUGGCGCAGUUUGGCAGCGCGUUUGACUGGGGGUCAAAAGGUCGCCGGUUCAAAUCCGGCCGCCCCGACCA
rnacentral:tRNA from 1 species